GGUCCUUUCAUUCUCUUUUAUUUUUUUUCCUCAUGAAUAAAAAAUGUAUUUGUAGUUUCACAGAAGUAACUGCAUGAUGAAGAGAAACACAUUUUGAUGUUGUUAUUUUGGUAUUGUCAUGGUGCCAAAUGACAGAGCUUUUAUAAUAUUCGUGAGUCAGUGACUGUACAGAACAGUAGUUCCUGUUGAUUAAUUGUAUUAGACAACAAUAUGAGCAGAGGUGAGAAAGCUGCUGCCAAGAAAAAACAAGACUGCAGUGAGAAAUACACAACUAAUAAAUAUCUAAGUAUGCACCGAUACACAUAAAACCAUGUAGAUGCCAAUAUAUUUAAUGGCAAUGAUGUCAAUUUCAGUGAGAAGUAAGAUAGCACGCCUUCAUGUUGACAGUUUGAGUAGGUGAGAAAAUCAAGAUAUUAUGCUGGCUUGCAGACAUUGAAAUCAAAAUCUUUGUCAGAAAAAAUAACAUAGAAAUCACUAAUGUAAAUAUAAAUUGUGCAUAGAUUUAAACCUUCAAAAGAAACAGCCUUCAAAUCUAGAAUAAAGUACAUAGUAAUGGCUUUCUGCCAGUAUAAUUGUUUAGUCUUUCAACAGGCAGGUCUAAAAUCUUGAGGUCAGGUUCACAGCAGAGCGGGCCUGUGAUUUCGGUGUUGCAAAUAGGGAAAUGAAGUGGUUUACUACAGUGCAUUACCCAUAUGCUUAAAGCUUUUUUAAUAUCUCAGGCCAAAUUCUGUCUUGAGAAAUAUGUGCGCUAAAUCCUGGUGUUUUUUGUUUGUUUGUUUGUUUGUUUAGUUUGAACAUUUAUUUUAAAGUUAUCUUACCUAUAAUGUCAUUUCCUCUUUUGUUUAUUUUACUUACAGAAACACUUACCAUUACCCACAUAUAAUCACAGUUGACUUAGCAAUGAUGGUUCAGAGAAUCUGUUUAAGGAGAAUUUAUCAGUUCUGGAGGAUGGAAGCCUACCAAGAACUUUCCUGAAAAUACCAAGGAAGAUGUCAUUAGCAGGAGAUGCUGCCCAGCUGUCUCAUGAGAAUGUGUGGUCCAGUCACUAGAAUUCACUCCAUCUGUAGCUCAGAAGAAAAAUGGAGGACUAGGGGUGAAAUCAUAGGCUGAGUGAUGUCAUGGAAAUAAUAUCCUUAGAGGAGGACUUCAUGCCAAAACCCAGGAGCAGACAGAUUUCUGAGAAAGAUCUUGAUCAUCAAUAACUCCUGCUAAUUCAGUGGAAAUCACAGUCAGGUUGGCAAGCACUGUGCAUCAUCUCUUUUGAUCCCUACAUGCUUUUGUAGAAGAAAUUGGAAAAGCAACAUCCAAGAGGAAAUACAUGAAGAUCUAACCUGCCCUGUGUGAAAAUAUUCAUUUCAUAAUGUACGAGCUGCUGUUCUAUCGAUACAGCUGAAAACAGCCCCUAAUAAUUCAGGCAAGGGAAGACUGGAUUAAGGCAAUGAGGAAAAAAAAUUAGAGAUAAAAGAUGGACUUCUCUGUGAUCUUGGACAUUUGUUGUAAUCUCCAGUGUCAGAAAUUUUCCCCAAGUGGUCACUUUGUCAGUGAUUGAUUUCUUCACCCUAAUGGCUACUAGCAAAUACAAUCAACCCCAAAAGUCAUCGAAAUUUGGGGUGGUCCCCACGAAGGAAUGGGGUUCAUCGAGGUUACCCUGGACACCUCAUAGCACAGGAAAAAGAGCAGGCCCAGCUGUAAUUCAUUUCUCACAAUUUCUCGGUAUUCUUUCUAUUUUAUUAAGAAACCAAAAAGCAAAGCAAACAAGUACAAACUGUUCUACAGAAGCGUUUUGUGCUACAGGCAAGAGUAUCGUUUUCUUGUAGCAUCUCUUCUUACUUUAUCUCUUCUUCCCACAGCCAGACAAGAAACAAAUAUAAAAGUAUGUGUCAUCUCAGACAAAAGCCACCUUUCUCUCUUUGCAUCUCAUGGAAGACUGAAAUUUCGGAACAAAAUUGCCUUCUCUCAUAUCAAACUGAACAAAGCAGCUAUGUCCAGACAUAUUAUAUGCUUCCCUAUGAAAAGGAAAAUAAAUCUUCACAUUUUUAUUUAUGGAGGACAAGUUGGUACUUACAUGAUAAAUUCUGCAGUAGUAACGAAAUGGCUUUGAACUUCUUAACCACCAUUUAAAAUGAUGCAGAAACAAGUAAGAAAUUUAUAAAUGAAGCCUGGCUGUAUUUGAAAUGCACGUAGCAGGAUGGAAGAAAAUGGAAAUCCUUGUGGAUCAGUCUGAAGCAAGUAGGAGGAACCAGAGAGCUCCUUCACAGAAAGAACGCAUAUCUUGCAUUAUCAGGUUGGAUUAUAUUAGGAAGUUUUGCUAAAUUUACCUUAACCAAACCUUCAUCUUGGGUAUUUUCCAUGGAUCAUUUGGGUAAAAUGGACACCUUAGCUCCACAUUAUAUUUAACUCAUCUACAUAUGCUGUAAAAGGAACCUCGAUAAUCAUACCUCCUCAUUACUGCCGUCAGAAUUCUGCUUUUGUUAGACAAAAUGCAAACACAAACAUCAUUUAGCUUUUUUCCAUAUAGAUUUGACCUAUAUGGAAAAAGUAAAGCUAAAAGGACAUUUUAAGUUUGUCUUCUCACCAAUAUUUUUUUCAGGAAUCAGCACUCACAGGGCACAAAUGUGCAUAAUAAUCCACUUGAAUGAAUAAGCAGUCAAAACAAUUAGAAGUAAACAAUGUCACAACGUUGCCAUAGAAGUGGCACAGUCAUGCUGCAGCCUGACAGGUUUCUGAAAAGUCUAUAGGGGAUUUCACAAUUCAAGGUACUGCUUCCUCUGAAAAUUAUAGCAAAACCUCCAUGAGAUUCACAGAAGCCUGUCUGGCUGUGUGCUGGCAGCAGCUAGGAAUGACAAAAAGAGGGAGGAAAACAGGACAGCAUGAGCUACCAAGGACAGGGAGGAGAAAGAGCUUCGGUGCUCCUCUUGCUUUCAACUACAUCCAGAGAGUCUUGCAAGCAAAACGUGGAUUUUGCUAUUUCUUGCCCAGAGCACUGGGGCUUGUCUGCAUCAGAGCUGGUUUUACCUGACCUUGCCAACUGCGCCUGGCCAUCCUUGGACAGUUUUUCUCCUCUGUUUGCUGAGUGCUGCUCUGGCUUCCACAUCAAUGAACACAUAAUUGGUCCUCUCAAAAAUAAACAUAGAAUCAUAGAAUUGUGUGGGUUAGAAGGGACCUUAAAGAUCACCCAAGACCCUGCCAUGGGCUUGGUGCCCCCCACCAGCUCAUGCUGUCUAAUGCCCAUCCAUGGCUUUGCACACCUCCAGGGAGGGGCACACACAGCACCUCUGGGCAGCAGUGCAGGGCCUCAUUACUCUCAACAUUUCCAGCACUUACCCUCGACAUUCCUACGCAAAUAUUUUUAAUGUAGAAUUGUAACAGCCAUUAAAUAUUUAAUAUUAAGUAACCUGUGGGAACUUUUAUGUAUUCUAUUUGAAGACUGAAGGUAAUAACAAAAAGGUGAGAAGAAAUGUGAUAGCUGGUUCAUCUGAAAGCAUGUAGCAAUUUUAGGAUGUAUUUUAUAUAUGAACUCAUAAAACUGAUACAGAAGAAAUUAAAUGUAUACAAUGAUUUAUAGGUGGAUUUAAUAGGCUUGCAAUUUUUUAGUUCCAUACAUCUUCAUGGAAACAGUUAUAAAUCUCUAUAACUUAAAUUGCUUACCCAAGCUCUACAGAAACAGCAUAAACAAAGCAAGCAAUUAUCUGUAAUAAACUUUUUCUUUAAUAUUUUGACACUCACCUCUUUGUAAAACUACAUGAAAUAAUUUAUCAUGUGCAGUAUUAGAAAAUCAGGUUUUAUUUGCUAAGUUCAUCUAUUUUUUGCAAUUGUGUAGAAACCGUCAUCUUUCUGUUAUGGUAAUCAACUCAUUCAGCAUUAAUACAAUGGUAAUGCAAUAUCAUCUAUGCACAAUUAUUUAUAUAUUUAUAUGACUAUAAAUACAGUUGUAUUUUGUCCCCCAUACAUCACAAUAAUCUCAGAAAUCUAGAAAAUUCCCUUUGUAAGCUGCUACUUGAAGUAGUUGGAAAUUCAGUUUUCAUAAUGGCCAGUGUUGACAUUUUAAAUGAUAAUUUGAGCAGUGUUUUCUGGAGUUCAGGCAUUGAUUUCUACACCCAACUGAAGAGUUUGAUGGGGGCAGCCAUCUAAAAAUGCUUGAUAUGAAUCAGUGUGAGCUGCAUUGCAGAAAAUCUCCACAGCUGUGGAAGAUGUGGGAUUUUUCAGAAAAGCAAUUUUAGCCUUCAAUCUACAUCCUAAAAUACAAGUGAAGUGCUAUCAUUUGCUUGGAGUAGCACUUAAACUGGAGAGACAGGGUUCUGUGAAACACAGAACAAAACUCAGAAUAUAGGUAAUUCAGGAGAAGAAUGACAUUGCUGCAUACUUCCUUUGGAGAGCAACAACACUCAGAUAGAUUGCAACAGAUGCAGAAUGUCUUAGUUAUAUAUCGCAGUAUACAAAAGCUCCAAAAAGUUUGCUUUGAAUAAAGAAAAAGACAAGCUGCUGAGAAUAAGAUUUAUUUUGAUGUAAAAAGAGCUAUGCUUAGGCUGUAUGAUUGUUGCAGAAGAGAGAACACUUACACACAGAAUGGAAAUGUGACAGCACUGGGGAUCAAGCCUUAGGAUGUGCCACCAUGUUAUUUUUCUAAAGAGAUUAUGGCCAGAAAUACAUUUUUAAUUUAAUAUAACCCCUCCCCGUGCAUUAAUGUAUGAAGAGAUGAUUCUGCACAAUGUUUUCACAUUAUCGUAUCCCACAGCCUGAAUUCUGCUUGUUAAACUUGAUCAGAUUUUGAGGUCAGGGUUGGCAGUUUUGCCUUGGGUGGCUGAAGUUUUGCAUCAGUUGCUUCGUGGACACCCACAGGCUGCUGCUGGCAUCAAUGGUAUCAAGGACAGACCCUGGAAGAUGAGGACUCCAAAAGGCAGCUCGUAAAUGAAACUGUCUGAUAUUGUUAUCAGUAGCUGUAGACAGCUUUUAAUCUCUGUGGGCCUUCAGUAACUCAGAUGUACACAUCCUGACUGCAGCCCACACAAUGCUUCACCUUAGCGUGAAAUCAAUGUUGGCUCUUGUCAUGAAGAGGCUGGCAUAACUGAUGUCAUAAAUCUGUGUCCAAUACCCCACGUACUGGAUAAAUUAGAGCAAACCACAUAUCUGUUUAAACAGAGCUUCACAAACAGAGUAAUCAAGAUUGUAGUUACAGCUAUAAAAGCAUGCCUGUUGCAAAUUGCAUGUUUAGGCAACCUGUGUAACCUAAACUGAACAUGCCAGCCAUGUGUUUGAGUUCGUUUGCAGCUCAAUCUCAGAAUUUGGCUCGACUUUGCAGUGAUUCUUGGAAGCUUUGUAACCUGCACUGGAAGAGGCUGGUUUUUCUAGCAGCCACUGACAUUUUCCUCUGCUUCACUGUCCACAAGAUGGCAACAUCUGUGGGUCACCAUCUCAGGAUUUUCUCCGAAAAGGAAGAAAACAAGACAAAAUAUCUCUGGUUUAUAUCAAAAAAAUAGUGUCAUAUUUAAGAGAUCGCAUUGGUUCCCUGUGCUCAUUUCUGCCUUCUACCCUUUUAAGAAUUCUUUGGGAAGUGGUACCUUUCCACUGUGUUUUCCAAAAGCAGAAGGAUCAGCACGCUCCUCAAACACAGUCCAAAUUGUUUUGAUCCUACUGCAAAAGAUUUCAAACAAUUUCCAUGUCUUUUUGCCUUUAGUUUUAAUCUUUCUAAAUCCUUUCGCUAUAUACUGUAAGCAGCAAGGGCCAGAUUCAAACAGCAAUUUGACCUCUUUAAAAAGAAACCAUUUCUGGCUUGAGUAGCCUCUGUGAAUUGAUGGGAUUAAUAGCAUUUUGUUAAGCUCUACUUACAAGCAGAGAAAUAAUUGCACUAAAGUUGGCUACAAAGAUAAGAUAGCUGGUUAAAGCCUGGUGCCCUCUGUUUCACCAGCUGUAUGUGCUGAUUUGGUUUACCUUAAAAACUAUCUGAAGCACCAGAAAUAGCUUAGGCUGGAUAAUUUCUGUGGUUUCUGUCCCCACCUUUAUCUUCUGUCCUUUGUAGGGUGCCGUAGAUGACUUGACAACUAUUGAAUCACAAAUGCAAUUAAUUUAUUCCAAAAUCAGACCACUCAGUAGUAAGUGACAAGUGUGUUCCAAUCUUCUUCUCAUCCUUCCUGCUGUACCAAACACCUUUCUGUUCCACCCAAACUAUGAUGUUGGACUCUGGCCCCUGCUGCUCUGAGGUGCCAGCUCCCUUCACCACCACAAAGUGAUUAACACAAUAAAACUGGUUUAUGAGCUGUUGGCUCUGAUCUUCAUUAUGUUGAAUUUGGGUUCUUCAUGACAGCCUGACAAAAGGACUCUGUCUGAAAGCCUAUCUGUUUUCUAAUUAUAUUAGUUGGUUUAAUAAGAGGUACUACCUUUCCUUAUAAAAAUUAAGCAAUGCAUUUAUUCACAGAAGCAGUAUUUUUUUAAAAUUCAGUGACAACCAGCCCAACUGAGCAGCACAUAGAAAAACAUCACUUUGGAUAUCACUUCCCCUGCUAACUGCUUCCCUGCCUUGGUGCCAGGGCAUACUGUAAUACCAGCAUUGAGAUGCAACCAGCCCAGGCUGCCCUCCCGUCUGUUCUCCGAGCCCAGACCUCUCUGGAUAAGCCUUGAUCCAUCCAUGAAGGUGUGAUCACCACCUGAGAUUGAGCAUCUCACCAGCCUGGUCCAGCUCUGCCUGCAGAAAUGUUGCACAACGUAUCUCAGCCAGCAGCAGUUCCCACCACUUCUCAUCAAAGCAUCCUCCCAUCAACAGAGGAGCCAGGAGCAGAGGAAAAGCUCCUUGAUAUAAAAUAGCAGAAGCUCUUUUUGCUCCACUCCUCAGUCUGUUCUGCACUUCUUUCAGGCAGGGCAAGUCCUGCCGUUUUGCUGCAGAUGCUCUGUAUAGAAAGUAUAUGUACAUUAAAUUGCCUCUGUGACCAUGUUUGACUCCUACUCUACAAAUAAAUGGGAGUAGAUAGCUCCCUUCCCUCAGGAACUUCUGUCUGCAGAAAACUGUGGAUUGCUGGGAUAUGCAGAUGAAACAUCUCUUUCUCUCCACCAAGAUAUGAAAGCAAAGAGCUCCUUCCCCUUCUGAGCUUCAGGCCAAGGGGCUCCGACACACACUGAGCAAAUGGGAAGAUGUGUGAUUAGGUAACUUCCAAACUUCAGAAACAUUUCCAUUUUAAAUUCUGACUUCCUGCCAUGCACAUACUCUUCUGUAGCCAGGCUCUGAGGCAAUUUAUUAACAACUCCAGUGGAGUGAUAUCUGCAGAAUCUGUUUUUCAGCUUUUGACAGCUGAGCAGGGCUAAUGUUCCUGUUCCAGAGUGCUGUCGUGGAAGCAGUGCAUAUUCUAUAUAUUCAAUGAAGAAGUGUCCUUUGAAGGUGUAAAUGAAAUCGCUUAUCUGAAGUAAAGAGAUAAAAAAUCAAUUUAAAACAUUUUAGAUUGUUUAUCAGCAUGUAAGAAAAAAAUACAAGAUUGACCAGGCUUUACAAAGAAGGUUUUAAACCACAAACUACCAGUACUUUUAGGUUGUAUUUCCUGUUCAGUAAAUUAAACAUUUCAAUGGAUAGCAAUGCAUUUCAGAAACAUAAAUUAAAAAUGAAUAGAUAAACAAUAGAAUAAAACCUGCCAAAUGCUUUCAAUAUUUUAAUUUCUUAAAUACAAAAACCUACUGAAGUUGCUUCUACAACCUUAAAAUCUAACAGAACCCAUUGAGAUCAGCACUAGAUCCAAGAUCUGAAAUGAGGGGUUUUAAAAAAUACCUGAAAUACUCUAAAUAUUAGAUAAAGAAAAGUUAGAGAGGUGUUCAGGGAAAGAAUAAUGGCAAUUUUGUUCACAUCAGGGAUUUAAAUGAAUAUGAAAUCAUGAAAGUCUUAACAUUGUUCUUGAACUUUCCCAGAACAUAGGUCUUACUUGGAUGAAUGUUACAAGGAGAGUGGAAGAAAGACUUAGACUAAAACAGGAUUGACAUGCAUGAUGAAUUACAGUUCAUUAAUCCAAUUAAUGAGUAAUUCCAGAAGCUUUAAUCCCAGAUAAAGCUCUUUAUUGCAGCUCUGUUGGCUAGUGAUGCACAAACUAAGAGCCUGUCAGCAAAUCAAUUGUAAAAUUCUAUUAAAUAAAGCUUGUCUUACAUUUUCA